GACGAACGCUGGCGGCGUGCUUAACACAUGCAAGUCGAACGGUGAAGGGGCCUGCUUUUGUGGGUCCUGGAUGAGUGGCGAACGGGUGAGUAACACGUGAGUAACCUGCCCCCUUCUUCUGGAUAACCGCAUGAAAGUGUGGCUAAUACGGGAUAUUCUGGGUCUGUCGCAUGGUGGGCCUGGGAAAGAUUGCGCCUUUUUUGGUGUUUUUGGUGGGGGAUGGGCUCGCGGCCUAUCAGCUUGUUGGUGGGGUGAUGGCCUACCAAGGCGGUGACGGGUAGCCGGCCUGAGAGGGUGGACGGUCACACUGGGACUGAGACACGGCCCAGACUCCUACGGGAGGCAGCAGUGGGGAAUAUUGCACAAUGGGCGCAAGCCUGAUGCAGCGACGCCGCGUGAGGGAUGGAGGCCUUCGGGUUGUGAACCUCUUUCGCCAGUGAAGCAGGCCUGCCUCGUUU
rnacentral:rRNA from 1 species